UGCUUUGCACUCUUAGAAGUUAGUCUGUUCUAACCCCAGAGCCAGUAAUGGUGAACCCACUGGGGUAACUGGGAGAGAGGAUGAGAACUUAUUCCAUAAGGAACUGCCUGAGGUAC
rnacentral:snoRNA from 1 species